GCAUUAAUGGGGUAGUGGUAACCUGGGUCGUUGCCAUGAAAAGGUCUGAUUUCUCCUUUCGACCCGCCGGGGGUUCGAUUCCCUCUUAAUGCA